GGCCCCAUGGUCUAGUGGUUUAGGACACCGCCCUUUCACGGCGGCAACAGGGGGGCGUAUCCCCUUGGGGCUACCA
rnacentral:tRNA from 1 species